rnacentral:rRNA from 2 species
GGACUACACGGGUAUCUAAUCCUGUUUGCUCCCCACGCUUUCGCGCCUCAGCGUCAAUAUCUGUCCAGGUAGCCGCCUUCGCCACUGGUGUUCCUUCCGAUCUCUACGCAUUUCACCGCUACACCGGAAAUUCCACUACCCUCUACAGUAUUCUAGUCAUUCAGUAUUGUAUGCAGUUCCUAGGUUAAGCCCAGGGAUUUCACAUCCAACUUAAUUGACCGCCUACGCGCCCUUUACGCCCAGUAACUCCGAUUAACGCUCGCACCCUCUGUAUUACCGCGGCUGCUGGCAC